rnacentral:tRNA from 1 species
AAAAAUUUAGUUAAAAUUAUAACAUUAGUUUGUCAAACUAAAAUUAUUUAUUUCAAAUAAUUUUUA